UUGCUUUUUCUCGCGGAGAAGCACUAGGAGCCCAUAUCUUCUGCUUGCGUCUAUUCUUCUGAUACCCCAUUGUAGAUAGGCGGAAAGAGCGGGACGGCAAGACGAAGGGCCACAUAGCUACACCUUCAAUGAAGUAUGUCAAUGGUGUUCUAUGUCAGAAAGAAGAAAUUCCCGCAUGGCGUCCUCAGUGCCCAUGCUCGGUCGUAUGGAACUCGGUCUAGUCGCUGUCACCGGAUCCUAGCCCCCACCAGUUUCCAGUGUAGUGGAAACUUACUAAACUAAACUAAAUUACUGCGCAUAAGAGAAUACCCACUAAAAUAAUCGCCUGAUUCACAGAAAAAAUGCCGUGAACACUGCUUUAAAAAUAGGAAUGGCUAGGAGGGAGAAAUAUUGCCGAGCACUCAACAAUGCGAUUGCCAUUCUCUUGUUUUUUUUUUUUGUAGAACACUUGCUUCGUAUGACAGUACAUUCGAACUUGUUCACGCAUGGAAAUUGGCGGAGAGCGUUCGGAGAAUAGAGCUUCUGAUUAAAAAAAAGACAGUGCACUGUAAUGUAUAAGUGGCACGGGCAAACAAUUGUUCACGGAUGCUGUGUGCGUGUCCUAGAUUUCUUCAUGCGUUUGCGUCCACAUGCCUUGAAGGAAACGUGGACAUUGCUUGUAGUGGCAGCAAGCCGACCUAAAUUAAACAUGGUAUUAUUGAGCUGCUGAAGAUUAAAUUUUGGUAAACUCAGCACCUCCGGUUUCAACACAGCAGUGAGCUCAACGUGUAAAGAAUUGACAAUACUUACAAGCAACUACCGCUGUGCUCGCCAGCAAGUGUCAUUUCAGGCUGCACGAAAGGGCAAGCAAGAUCUCAAUUUCUUAGACAAAAUCCUAAAAGUUUAGAUCGUCUGGUUUUGCAAGCUGGCAUCAUUUAUGUAUGACCACGUCUGUUUAAUAGAAGGUGCCUAGCUGGUUACCUGGAUACCUGGCCUAGCUGGUUAUGCAGAAGCAAAGGACGUUUUUACUUAUUUCUGCCGCAACAUUCUUUGUGGAGAUGCUGGUUGCAGAAAGAAAUUCUGAAAGAGAAAGAAAGUGUCCGGAACACGAAGAGCGUAAGCUAAAACACAUAAACUGUGGCGAGUGCCUCUGCUCCGUCUUAAGUAUUCGGGUCAGUGGGAUUCCCCACCGCUGCAGCCAUGAUUUCGAAGAGAGGUGCUGGUGCAUCGAUGGCUAUUGUCGCACCGCAAAUGGCACAUGCGUCCUCAAAAAAGACUGUCCAUCACACUGCAGCCAUUCAGAACCUUAUCCACCUCAGUUCACAAA